CUUGACAUCCCGAUGACCGCCCUAGAGAUAGGGUUUCCCUUCGGGGCAUCGGUGACAGGUGGUGCAUGGUUGUCGUCAGCUCGUGUCGUGAGAUGUUGGGUUAAGUCCCGCAACGAGCGCAACCCUUACGGUUAGUUGAUACAUUCGGUUGAUCACUCUAGCCGGACUGCCGUUGACAAAACGGAGGAAGGUGGGGACGACGUCAAAUCAUCAUGCCCCUUAUGACCUGGGCUACACACGUACUACAAUGGCAGUCAUACAGAGGGAAGCAAUAUGGUGACAUGGAGCAAACCCCUAAAAGCUGUCCCAGUUCAGAUUGCAGGCUGCAACCCGCCUGCAUGAAGUCGGAAUUGCUAGUAAUCGCGGAUCAGCAUGCCGCGGUGAAUACGUUCCCGGGCCUUGUACACACCGCCCGUCACACCAUGAGAGCCGGUAAUACCCGAAGUCCGUAGCCGAACCGCAAGGAGGGCGCGGCCGAAGGUAGGACUGGUAAUUAGGGUGAAGUCGUAACAAGGUAACC
rnacentral:rRNA from 1 species